rnacentral:rRNA from 1 species
GUGGGGAAUAUUGGACAAUGGGCGAAAGCCUGAUCCAGCCAUGCCGCGUGAGUGAUGAAGGCCUUAGGGUUGUAAAGCUCUUUCAGUAGGGAAGAUAAUGACGGUACCUACAGAAGAAGCCCCGGCUAACUUCGUGCCAGCAGCCGCGGUAAUACGAAGGGGGCUAGCGUUGUUCGGAUUUACUGGGCGUAAAGCGCACGUAGGCGGAUUGGUCAGUUAGAGGUGAAAUCCUGGAGCUCAACUCCAUAACUGCCUUUAAUACUGCCAGUCAAGAAUCCAGAAGAUGUGAGUGGAACUCCUAGUGUAGAGGUGGAAUUCGUAGAUAUUAGGAAGAACACCAGUGGCGAAGGCGGCUCACUGGUCUGGUACUGACGCUGAGGUGCGAAAGCGUGGGGAGCAAACAGGAUUAGAUACCCGUGUAGUCC